UUCGAGGGGAAGUCAGUCAGCUGGGGCGGGCGAUGAGGGGGUGAGGGACAAAAAAAGAGAGAGAGAAAGAAAGAAAGAAAGAAAGCAAGAAAGAGAAAAGCUGCCUCUCUUUCUUCCGACAGAGCACCUCCAUCCCCAUGAUCUCAUGAAUAAAUUAUAGCGACUCAUUGUGCAAUAGAGGGAGGAAUGCAGUCGAGCAGACUCGCGCGCACACAUACUCACGCGCGCAGGAGCAGCAGCAGAAGCAGCGCGAGAGCAGCCGCCACUCUUUGGAUUUACACAAAAACAUUUCAUUAAAACACACAAAUGCUGGGAGACUGAACGCUUAUGGUGUUUUAUUCCACAUCACAUGGAUCAUAUAAAUAGAAAUCCGACACGUCCACAAGUAAUAUGAUCCAGUUUUAACGGUUUUUAACGUACUCUCACGGCUUCCGAUUUCUGAGGUAACCGUUGAUAUCCAAGAAAAGACAGAAACGGCUGCGUUUUUAUCCGCUUCAACCCAGCGAGGAUCGAAAUAGGUCCUCAUCUUUUGUUUUUGAACAUUUCGAGAGGAUUUUCUCACAAGCAAAGCCGAACACGGAAUCAAAUCCAGCCAACAGAUCAACCUCGGGCAGCCGGAGUGGAAGACUGCCUGCUAGGUUGAGGAGAUUCGGGGUGUCCCAUAGACCCCUAGGUUCCUCCGAUGAACCCCAUCAACUCCAUGAAACCUGCCCUGCCUCCAACGCCACACAGUGACGCCUCUUACCCAUAUGAUCCUGUCCCCUGGCAGCAAGGCCCCAAUCAGCCUGCCGGCUCCCUCUCUGUGGUAACCACAGUGUGGGGGGUAACCAAUCCUUCACCCAG